rnacentral:rRNA from 1 species
AACGAACGCUGGCGGCAGGCUUAACACAUGCAAGUCGAGCGGGGUUUUCGGACCUAGCGGCGGACGGGUGAGUAAUGCGUAGGAAGCUGCCCGAUAGAGGGGGAUACCAGUUGGAAACGACUGUUAAUACCGCAUAAUGUCUACGGACCAAAGUGUGGGACCUUCGGGCCACAUGCUAUCGGAUGCGCCUACGUGGGAUUAGCUAGUUGGUGAGGUAAUGGCUCACCAAGGCGACGAUCUCUAGCUGGUUUGAGAGGAUGAUCAGCCACACUGGAACUGAGACACGGUCCAGACUCCUACGGGAGGCAGCAGUGGGGAAUAUUGGACAAUGGGCGCAAGCCUGAUCCAGCCAUGCCGCGUGUGUGAAGAAGGCCUUCGGGUUGUAAAGCACUUUCAGCGAGGAGGAAGGGUGGUGUGUUAAUAGCACAUCAUUUUGACGUUACUCGCAGAAGAAGCACCGGCUAACUCUGUGCCAGCAGCCGCAGUAAGAC